rnacentral:tRNA from 1 species
GUGUCUGUAAUUUAAAAAAAAUAUCAAGCUGUGGCCCUGACAAUAGGAGUCAACUCCUCAUACAC